AUCAUUACUAUUAUUUUUAUUUUCCUUUUUUUUUUUUUUUUUUUUUGUAACAGUACUUUCUAGUUUGAACUUUUCACUUCUCUAUCUUCCUAUAAUGAACUAAUAUUGUUUAAUUAAACUUAUAAUUACUUUUCAUCUUUAUUAAACUUUUUUAUUUCUGAUAGUUUUGACUUUUGCAUAAUUGCCAAGUUUCUGAAAUUUCUAACAAUAAAUUUCAUUAAACUAUUUCUGUCACUGUACUGACUUUUUUGAAUAUGGCUUCUUUGCAUGAAAAACUGAAAUAUUUCUGUUUAAUUACUGACAUGCAUUUAAUUAAUACAGAGGCAGCUGCACUCGAGUUUGCCACCGAUGCUGGACUUCUUCCCAGAGAGGAUGAGGCACCACCUUGCCCCAAGUGCCAGGCACCGAUGAGAAGCAACAAGAGAAAGGAAUCAAAGCUGGGAUGGCGUUGGGUCUGCAGCCUGAGAAAUCGCAACAACUGCUCUGGCAUGAUUAACCCCAUUGAAAACACAUUUUUCGAAGGUACAAAAAUCCCAAUAAGGGAAGCUUUAGUCAUAACUGUGUACUUUGUUCUAGAUCACAGUUUCAGCUACAUAAAUCAGCAGCUAAAGCUAUGGAGGGAAAAGCAAAAAUUACCAGUAAUUGCAAAUGAGACUAUUGUUGACUUUUUAUCAUAUUGUCGUGAGGUAUGCGAAAUUUUUGCCUCUCAUCAUAGCAGAAUGUUAGGUGGUAAAGGAAAAUCUAUAUUAAUUGAUGAAACAUUUUUGACCCGCCGCAAGUACAACCGCGGCAGGGUAACCAAAAAUAUGACCAUCGUAGUUUUAGGCAUCUACUGUCGAGAAGACAAAGAAGGAUUAUUUUUCAAGGUUAAAGGAAAAAGCAAAAGGCAUUUGUGGCCUUACAUUAAACGUCAUGUUCACCCAGAAACCACCUUCAUAUACACUGACUCUGCUCCACAAUAUAAAAGGAUAGAAAAUUUAUUUCCGGCAGCAACACAUAAAACUACCAAUCACAAGAAAGGCGUAUUCGUAGAUCCCGAUGAUAAACAGAACACUAUAAAUGAUCUUGAGGGUGAAAACAAACUUUUUAAGAGGUCUAUAAAGAGCAAGAGAACAGAUGAUAUUUGCACGCAGUACAUGGCUGUACAUUAUUACAGGCGGUUCCGCUUGAAGCCCUUUACUUAUGAUGGAGAAAGACUUGCUCAGUUUCUACAGGACAUUAAAGCUGUGUAUCCAGGCCAUGGAAAAGUCGGCCUUGAACUUAAAAUGUUGGACGAACCAACAUCAGAAAGCGAAGGAAUUGAGGACCUGAUGCCUCCAAAGAAAUCAGCCCGACAAGAUGAUGAUAUACCAUUCAUUCAGGAAGAUGAUGAUAAAUGGGAAUUCAACCAAAAAACAGAGCCCAGAAAACAAAAGGAUGGAAAUGUUGCGAAAAUGUUGCAUAUCUUUUACAGAAAGAGCUGCAGAUCCAAAAUGUCAUGAAAUACUAUGACAGAGGUAAGACAAAAUUUUAACCAUUCACAGCUUAUGUUUCAAAUUAGUGCUUCACUUUAUUUUAAUACUACUCCUUCAGUAAAAGCAACUGUAAAAUUUAUUUAGUUAUUAUUAGUAUAAGUUUACCUACUUAUUUUUCAGUAAAAAAAACUUUAUUGCAAAUUAGGUAAUCCAAAAAAAUAAAUAAAAGAAAGAAGAAAACUAAUUUUGACAGAUAAAUUGACAAACAUAGAGGUGAGUUGAUUAAUUUAAAGGUUUCCAGCCUACUUCUUACCAGAAAACAUUUUAUUGUUAAGGAUAAUUUAUCACCCCUUUCAGGUAAAGAAUAUUGCAGAAAUGAGAAAUGAAUCAUGGAAAGAAAUGAAUCUUCAGUCAGAAAAUAUACAGGGACUUCAAAAAUAACAUUUUGCUGCCACUUAGACGAGGGAAGAAGCAGAUGGAGAAAUCAACUCGGAUGACAAACCCAGUGCCUGGGGGUAUAGCCAGGUUUUUCUUUCAAGAAACACAUCCGAGUUGAAACGACUGAUGCGGGCCACACCUGAAAGCGAAGGAACUGAGCAACUGCUGCCACCACAGGAAAUCUCGACGAUCAUGAAAUUUAAAAUCUUGUUUAUUUAUCUUGUAUUCUGAACAUAUAUAACAUGGAUAUUUUCUCUACAAAAAACUCCAAAUAGUGAACUGCCAAGUAAUACUGCUG
rnacentral:misc_RNA from 1 species